rnacentral:rRNA from 1 species
CCCUUAGAUGUUCUGGGCCGCACGCGCGCUACACUGAUACAAGCAACAAGCGGUUCCUUGGCCGACAGGUCUGGGUAAUCUUGUGAAAUUGUAUCGUGAUAGGGCUUGACGAUUGUAAUUAUUUGUCACAAACGAGGAAUUCCUAGUAAGCGCAAGUCAUCAACUUGCACUGAUUACGUCCCUGCCCUUUGUACACACCGCCCGUCGCUCCUACCGAUUGAAUGGUCCGGUGAAAUUCUCGGACGCGGACUUGCGAUGUUAAUUCGGAGCUUGACUGUGAAAGUUAAUUAAACCUUACCAUUUAGAGGAAGGUGAAGUCGUAACA